rnacentral:rRNA from 1 species
ACCAGACUCCUACGGGAGGCAGCAGUGGGGAAUAUUGCACAAUGGGGGAAACCCUGAUGCAGCAACGCCGCGUGAGUGAAGAAGUCAUUCGUGAUGUAAAGCUCUAUCAGCAGGGAAGAAAAUGACGGUACCUGAGUAAGAAGCCCCGGCUAACUACGUGCCAGCAGCCGCGGUAAUACGUAGGGGGCAAGCGUUAUCCGGAUUUACUGGGUGUAAAGGGAGCGUAGACGGCCAGACAAGUCAGAUGUGAAAUUCCGGGGCUCAACCCCGGACCUGCAUUUGAAACUGUUGGUCUUGAGUAUCGGAGAGGCAGGCGGAAUUCCUAGUGUAGCGGUGAAAUGCGUAGAUAUUAGGAGGAACACCAGUGGCGAAGGCGGCCUGCUGGACGACAACUGACGGUGAGGCGCGAAAGCGUGGGGAGCAAACAGGAUUAGAUACCCUCGUA